rnacentral:rRNA from 1 species
AGUGAACGCUGGCGGUAGGCCUAACACAUGCAAGUCGAACGGCAGCACAGUAAGAGCUUGCUCUUACGGGUGGCGAGUGGCGGACGGGUGAGGAAUACAUCGGAAUCUACUUUUUCGUGGGGGAUAACGUAGGGAAACUUACGCUAAUACCGCAUACGACCUACGGGUGAAAGCAGGGGAUCUUCGGACCUUGCGCGAUUGAAUGAGCCGAUGUCGGAUUAGCUAGUUGGCGGGGUAAAGGCCCACCAAGGCGACGAUCCGUAGCUGGUCUGAGAGGAUGAUCCGCCACCAUGGAACUGAGACACCGGCCAGACUCCUACGGGAGGGCGGAGUGGGGAAUAUUGGACAAUGGGCGCAAGCCUGAUCCAGCCAUACCGCGUGGGUGAAGAAGGCCUUCGGGUUGUAAAGCCCUUUUGUUGGGAAAGAAAAGCAGCAGGUUAAUACCCCGCUGUUCUGACGGUACCCAAAGAAUAAGCACCGGCUAACUUCGUG